GCUUUGCUGUAACCCACCUGCCUGAUGUCUCCACCAAAGGCUGCAGAUCUGGAUGUAUAACUUUCAACUACUUCUCCAGCACCAUGUCUGCCUGCAUGCCAGCAUGUUGCACCAUGAGGAUAAUGGACUAAACCUCUGAAAAUGAAGGUCUGAGCCCAUACCUCACAGGGCCGUGAAGAGAAUACAGUGUAAGAACUUCCAGCAGCGAGAAGGUCAUUCUGUGGACAGUAGCUGGCCUACUGUGGCUUAGAAGGGGAAAGCCUCUGAGAUCCUCCAGAACGAUGGAAAACAGAAACACCCCAAUACACCCAGAGAACAAGGAGGAGACUCCAGCGGUCCAACCAAGUCCUGGCCUGAAUUCCACCACAAAGAAGACUGAUUUGGAGUCCACUGUGUCAGUCAGUCAGGCUGGGCUUGCAGAUGCCGAGGAAAAGGACAACGAAAAGCAGCCUGUAGCUCCCAGAGAACCAAAGAGGGAGCUCCAACACACAGGAUCAUCCCAAGAGGGGCCAGGGGAACUUGAAACCCAGGAGCAGAGGCCCUCAUCAAGACCAGGGUGAGUUGUGGGGGACUUCCCAGAAAAGGGA